rnacentral:rRNA from 1 species
AAGCUCGUAGUUGAAUUUCGGGGUUAGUAGGUUGGUCAUGCCUCUGGUAUGUACUGGUCUCACUGAUUCCUCCUUCCUUAUGAACCGUAAUGCCAUUAAUUUGGUGUUGCGGGGAAUUUGGACUGUUACUUUGAAAAAAUUAGAGUGUUUAAAGCAGCUAACGCUUGAAUACAUUAGCAUGGAAUAAUGAAAUAGGACGUUCGAUCUUAUUUUGUUGGUUUCUAGGAUUGACGUAAUGAUUAAUAGGGAUAGUUGGG